rnacentral:rRNA from 1 species
GCAUAAUCAUUUGCCUUUUAACUGGGGGCUAGUAUGAAAGGGCAAACGAAAGGCUAGCUGUCUCUCAAGCCCAAAUGUAAACUAUAUUUCAGGUGAAGAUCCCUGACUUUUCAAGGCGGACAAAAAGACCCUUUUGAGCUUUACUUUUUAGUUUGGUUGGGGCGACAAAGGACUACUCAAAACCUCCUUAACCCUAAAGACACGGUCUCUAGACGAUCCGAUACACUCGAUUCAAAGAAAUAGCUACCAAAGGGAUAACAGGCUAAUCCCUCUAAAGAGCCCAUAUCGAUAGGGGGGG